rnacentral:lncRNA from 1 species
GGCCAGAUUGACCACGUGACCGCAUGUCAACGGACCCUCAAAGCCCGAUUCUGUUUCAUCGGACCGCUCUGCCGCUCUCUCGGCGUGGAGGAAACGUAAACAAAGUGACAUAUGAAGAUGCAAAGUUCAAAGAAAAAAAAUCCGGAAGCGACGUCCGACCUAUCAACGAAUAAUGAAGAGCGGGAGAAAAGAAAAAGGAAGAGACUGCUCCUUUUCGGUCAAGCUUGCCUCUUCUGCAGGAACGACCUAGCACUCAGCCAGCCCCUCAACUUCCAGAACGUGCACCAGUGCCCAAGCAAAAACGCACACGUGAGCAGCGUGCCUCUUCCCAGGAGUGACUGAGGGGCUGCCACAAGGGGAGAAGGCAAGCAUGUUUCUGAUUACAAGAAUGGACAGUUGGGCUGGGCUAGUUGGUAAGAAUUGAUGUUGAAAAACGGUGCAAAAACCAGACAAAGAGAAAAGAACACACAGCACCUUGUCCUGUGUGUUCUCUUAUCCGUG